GUUGCGCUCUGCACGCGUCAUCUGCACGUCUUUUCACUUUCGACCUCUAUGCCUUAUCAUAAAAUUUUCUCAUUAUCUUUCCUUAAAAAAAACAAAAGAAAUAACAGCAGAAUGAUCAAUAGCCUCAUUUAAGCUUUUCCGCCUUCUUUUCUUUUAUAUCGGCUAUAGGGGGCCUACGUCAUUUCUAUGAUGCAGCAUAUAAUUUAUUUAUCAUAUUAUAUUUCAAAAUAAUGUAAAUGUAGUAUUGUUUAGUAUUGAAACACACGUUGUUCUGAAACAGACCUGCAAAGAAAACGAUAAUUGCACCAACCGAAAUGCAACAGACGAAAAAUAGCAGAUCGUGCUGCAGUGUCCAUCUUCGUAAUAGUUGCUGUUGGCGACGCCAUUAGGAAUAGCCGCGUGCGGAUUACACAAUUGGCCUAUUUGAUGCGUUCCAAAUAAAACUCAUGCAUUUUGUUUUGUGACGCUGAAUACCUUAGACAUACUGCGCAUGACAACAUAUAUUAAAGUUUAUUCGCCAUGAUGACCAAUAUCAUUAAAUCCUGAAUGUCAGAAAGUGAUUCGUCUUACUUCGUCUUCCACACGGUUAUAGAGCUUAUCUGUUUGGCUGAAGCAAACACAAACUUAACGUUCUGUCGGAUUGCUACGCGUUGGUUCUUCAAUUUGUGUGCAUAUUGCGCAGUAUUUAUUGACAAGUUGUUUACCUCAUCUUCGUUGCAAUUGCAUGAAAUAGGAUUGUGUUGUCCAAACCUCACCUGGAUUACACAUGCAUCACAGGUGAAGUCAUCGCCUUGAACUCUUGACAAACAAAUGUUUGUUAUCAGUGUCAUCGUCUAGUCCACUCAGCCUACAAGUCCUGAACGGCUUUACGAACGUUUCCCAUGCCAUCUAGUGUUUGUCAGUGACGCCAUGUUGACGCUAAACAUUCUGGGAUCGGGCAAAAAUGGCGUUGUAUCGACUAAAGUUACCUCAUCACCGAAAAGAACAAACCAUGCUUCAAUGUUUAGUUUUUCAGCACUCGAAUCACCCCCAUUUAACCCCCAACGUAUGGUGGGAUAUAUCAAAAAGUAAAAGUAUGUGAGGGGCAAUAGGCGUGACCUAUCAAAAAUUCAUUUUCCUACCGUGUCGUCAGGUAACUGAGGCCAGGUGGAAAUUCUGCAUCAGUUGCUGUGUGUUCGCACAGACUGUUGCUGACUCGCCCUUCUCCGUGGUAGUGACGUGAAAAAUAAUACCGUGUCAUCUGUGCUCCUCACCAUUACCUGCCUCGCCCUGCCUCGCCAUCACGUCCAGCAAUCUAAACAAGAAGACCAAUUACUCCACUCUCGCUAUAUAGUCCAAGACAAAUUUUACUUUGUCCAAUUCUGUAUGGCGAAUCGCAAGCCCAAUUGUUUAGCUGUUCUCGGCUAGGCUGUCUUUCGGUCGAUUGCAAGAGCAUUCCAUGAGGCAUUCUGUGAGGCCCAAAACCAAAUAGAUGGGACAACGUAUACUAUGCGAGUUUGAUAUUGGAUCUCUCUCGAUUAUGCCGUUUGCGAUGCCGAUCUUGUCAGUAUUGAAACUAUACAGAUAAUUGCCUUUGAACAACAUUUAACAUAUAAAAGACGAGGCCUAGUGCAAAGAUGUUGCUCUUGACAGAGUAUACCUCGGCAUUUUUAAUUGUCAUUACCAUCGACAUUUUUCCCCUCUUUUAUCGUGGCCUCAGUUCUUCGGCAGCAUCCCAGCGUUUCCGCUCCUACGACUCCAUUGUUUGUCGAAAAAUGUUUUACCCCUUCCCCCGUCGUCUUGGCUUGCGCCUCGCACCGAAAUCAGGAUGUUUUCCGGUUUGAAUAUGUCGUUGAAUGACAUUCUUCGAAUGGCUUUGUUCGUGACCUAAAGCUAAUUUGAGGGGGAAAUGUUGAGAUCAUGUGCUAUGGGCGGUCCGUUGUAUCUUUUUGCGCCAUCCGGUUUCAGGACCAGCUUUUCCAACGAGGCGACACACAAUUCCAAUCCAACGUAGUUACUGUAAAAAUGGAGGACGGAGGGAUGAAAUGAGAGCGUUUUGCUUGUGAAAACCAGACAAAAUAACUCGACACGAAUUGUUCUCCCCUUUCACAGUAUAGAGAAUUUUGACAAUGUUUCGAUGAUCCUUCAACCUCUCCAUAACUUUUCUCUUCGUAUUCUUUGACUUUCUCUCGUGAAACUCUUUUGACUGCACAUUGGCGACCGUUCAACUCUCCUCGAUAAACCCCGGCAGAUUUCCCUAUCAGAUUCCCCAACAGUGCAGUGCGGUCGAACUGAAUUUCCUCCAAAGUAUUUAAACAGCACACAAACGAAAAAGGAAGUUUCGGAAUGUGUUUAAAUAGCUUAAGCCAUCAGUGUCCAGUUUUCGAAGAGUGCUGUUGCCUUCUUCCAGUCCUUAGCAAACGGCCAACGCCUUUAUGUUGUAGUCUUGGUAGUCUGUGUGCGUCUGUGUAUUCUCCAGUGCCGUCUGGGUGGACUCGACAUGAGAGAGGACGAUGCGAGGCCACCUAGUGGUAGACUUUACAACAUCUCCCCCUUUAACCAUAUACGAACAACAGCCCCCAUACCGAACACAAAUGAAUGCAAUCAAAAUGUAAGACAAGUGUGAAAAUAAACCAAAAUGAAUGAA